rnacentral:rRNA from 3 species
CCUGGCGGCACUAGCGCGGUGGUCCCACCUGACCCCAUGCCGAACUCAGAAGUGAAACGCCGUAGCGCCGAUGGUAGUGUGGGGUCUCCCCAUGUGA